CAGCAGCCACGGUAAUACGAAGGGUGCAAGCGUUAAUCGGAAUUACUGGGCGUAAAGCGUGCGUAGGCGGUUUGUUAAGUCUGUUGUGAAAUCCCCGGGCUCAACCUGGGAAUGGCAAUGGAUACUGGCAAGCUAGAGUGUGUCAGAGGAUGGUGGAAUUCCUGGUGUAGCGGUGAAAUGCGUAGAGAUCGGGAGGAACAUCAGUGGCGAAGGCGGCCAUCUGGGACAACACUGACGCUGAGGCACGAAAGCGUGGGGAGCAAACAGGAUUAGAUACCCGCGUAGUCCCUGUCUCUUAUAC
rnacentral:rRNA from 1 species